GCACAAGCGGUGGAGCAUGUGGUUAAUUCGAAGCAACGCGAAGAACCUUACCAGGUCUUGACAUCCCCUGACAACCCGAGAGAUCGGGCGUUCCCCUUCAGGGGGACAGGGUGACAGGUGGUGCAUGGUUGUCGUCAGCUCGUGUCGUGAGAUGUUGGGUUAAGUCCCGCAACGAGCGCAACCCUCGCCUCUAGUUGCCAGCAUUCGGUUGGGCACUCUAGAGGGACUGCCGGCGACAAGUCGGAGGAAGGUGGGGAUGACGUCAAAUCAUCAUGCCCCUUAUGACCUGGGCUACACACGUGCUACAAUGGGCGGUACAAAGGGCUGCGAACCCGCGAGGGGGAGCGAAUCCCAAAAAGCCGCUCUCAGUUCGGAUUGCAGGCUGCAACUCGCCUGCAUGAAGCCGGAAUCGCUAGUAAUCGCGGAUCAGCAUGCCGCGGUGAAUACGUUCCCGGGCCUU
rnacentral:rRNA from 1 species